ensembl:lncRNA
GGCAGACUUUAGUAUGAGACUAGAUUCUAUCUCCAGAAACAACAUUUAAGUUUUAUCCCUUAUGCAGAGUAUCCAGUGGCACAACAUUAGGAAUCCAUCAUCAUUAUAGUGGAUCACUAUCAUAUUCCAUUGAAAAUGCCUACUGGAAGUCAAGAUACAUUUGUUGCCUGUUGACCUAACCUGGAUCAUACUGCAUAAGGAUGCUACUGUUUCCAAAGCACUUUGACAUUUCAGAUAACAUAUUGGAAAAGGAGUAUAAUUUUUAAAGGAAGAGGCUUUUGUGAGAGCAUUGACAUUUAAAGGACAGCAGAGAAGAUCCUGAACAGAGACCUGAGUAUAAGCUACACAGAGAGCGGAAAAAACCUUGCGAAUUUCCUAGUAAAGCUCACCACUGGUGCAACUCAGUUAAAAGCCAGGUGGCAUGGGAGUCCUGCAGACAUAGCCCACCUCUGUCAGUGUCCUGAGUCAAGAGCAGGACUGGCAAGGUUGGAAAGUGGAUGUGGAGGAGCAAGGAAGAGAGAGCUGUAUUUAGAAGAGUUUGAAUUGUUUGCAGCAUACAUUGAUGAACAACCCAGAAACUUGAGUGAUGUUUUUGGAAUACCUGUGCAUCAUAUGCACUAUGGAAUGUGCUAUGGAGCAUAAAAAUACAGUGUCCUGGUCUGAAAAGAAGGAUACAGACAAGAAAUUGAGUCUUGUUUCCUGAUUAUUCAUCUUGUGGUCUUUGGAUAAGUCAUCUCUUGUAUCUUCAGUGCCUUCAGAACUUUACACGCAUCGGGAGGAUUAGGAAUGAUGAACAGAAAGUGCCUGGCAGAAGAUAUUCACAAAGAAAAUAAGGAUCCUAAUACUAACUACAACAUUGGACUAAAAUAUUUUCAUCAGAAAUGUCCAUUAUAUCUUUUAAAGAGCUCUGUUUCAUAUAUCUGAAAAAUGUGCUUCCUUAGAAAUAUUCUGAAAAUCUGUGUCUGGAUUAAUGAUGGCUCACUGUUGAAUAAAGAAAUAGAUGUAAAUUGUUGCACCACUAAGUGAAAAAUAUCUGAAAUUCUUGGUGACUACAAUAACGUGUGCCUGCCAUUAACAAAAGCAUGAACAAAAAGCUGAGGCAGCUCAGAAGCUGGGAUGAGAUCUGCUUUGGUGAAUGAGGGACAAUUUCAUAAAGGAGGUGCCAUUGGAUCCGGAAACUGACGAAUAAAAAAGAGUUUAGCAGAUGAAGCGGAGUGGGCUAUACAAACAAAUGGGAUUAUGAACAUGUCGCAUAUGAUUAUGUAAUCAUGAGAACCUCAGUAUUGAACGUAAUUGAAUAUAGAGCCUUGAGAGGAAUGUUGGGGCCAGAAGUUUUAUACACACACACACAUUCACACACACACACAUUCACACACAUGUAAUACAAAAGAAUUAAUGCUUGCUGCCUUAAUGCAUACUGUCACAUAUUUAGAAAUAUUUUCUGCUUUUGGCACGAGGAGAGUUUUCUUAGUAAAAGUCCACCGAUAGUCCUGCUGCGCCUGUCUUUGCAUAACUCUGAUUCUGUGUAGGCGUAACUGUACACUCAAAUUGCAGCUAAUUGAUUGCGAAGCACAACUUGCUCUGGUUAAAGAAAUAGUUUAAUUCCAUAAAUAUCCAUAAAAGCUUGAAAUGAGGUAAGAAUCUCAGUGCUCACAUUCAGAAUCUCCUUAUUUUCCGUUAAAAACACAUUUGCAAUUUUAAGUCCCUUUACUUCCAGACAUAUGGUAAACUUAACGUCAGUCAUUCUUGAUGUAAUCCCCUCUCUGCAG